CUGGGGAGUUAAGAUCCCACCAUACCUAAAGCUGAAGCAACAUGAGAAGGUCCUGGAAACGGGGAAGAGUCAGCUACCUCAGCUGGGUUCUCAGUCGUAACGCCCAUCAGAGUCAUCGGGUCAACUUUUCAGAAUGGCACACCCAGGACCAGCCAGUCAACCAGACUCUUAGGCGGAAGCUUCUAGUGUCAGGAUCUACUUCCCCAGAACAACAGCUGCAAACUAGUCCACGGAAACUUCUACUGCGAGUCAUGAGCUCAUUUCAGGUAGUCCCUGAAAGUGUCAUCUGUGGAGUCUGGGGCUCAUGGGGGAAGACGCUGGGAUACGAUCCAGUAGCCAUUGAGAGUGCGCCUUCAGCAGAAUAGUCUUAUUAUCCAGCUCCGGGUUCACCCUGAGUCCUAGUCUCACCUGGGCUGCUUCCUGACUUUUGUCACUCAUGAACCCACCUUUUCAUGUCCACCUGGAGAGCCGGGUGUGUGUCUAAACGAGGAUUAUUUCAACAGACCAGAGUGGGCUGACGAUGGAGGCACACAGGUGAGCAGACAUGGUCCUUGCUCUCAGUAGAAAAUCAAACAGGUAGGUGGGUAAC